UAUGAGAGUUUGAUCCUGGCUCAGGACGAACGCUGGCGGCGUGCCUAAUACAUGCAAGUCGAACGCUUCUUUCCUCCCGAGUGCUUGCACUCAAUUGGAAAGAGGAGUGGCGGACGGGUGAGUAACACGUGGGUAACCUACCCAUCAGAGGGGGAUAACACUUGGAAACAGGUGCUAAUACCGCAUAACAGUUUAUGCCGCAUGGCAUAAGAGUGAAAGGCGCUUUCGGGUGUCGCUGAUGGAUGGACCCGCGGUGCAUUAGCURGUUGGUGAGGUAACGGCUCACCAAGGCCACGAUGCAUAGCCGACCUGAGAGGGUGAUCGGCCACACUGGGACUGAGACACGUCCCAGACUCCUACGGGAGGCAGCAGUAGGGAAUCUUCGGCAAUGGACGAAAGUCUGACCGAGCAACGCCGCGUGAGUGAAGAAGGUUUUCGGAUCGUAAAACUCUGUUGUUAGAGAAGAACAAGGACGUUAGUAACUGAACGUCCCCUGACGGUAUCUAACCAGAAAGCCACGGCUAACUACGUGCCAGCAGCCGCGGUAAUACGUAGGUGGCAAGCGUUGUCCGGAUUUAUUGGGCGUAAAGCGAGCGCAGG
rnacentral:rRNA from 1 species